rnacentral:rRNA from 1 species
AGAGUUUGAUCCUGGCUCAGAAUCAACGCUGGCGGCGUGCCUAACACAUGCAAGUCGAACGAGAAAGUGGAGCAAUCCAUGAGUACAGUGGCGUACGGGUGAGUAACACGUGACUAACCUACCCUCGAGUGGGGAAUAACUUCGGGAAACCGAGGCUAAUACCGCAUAAUGUCUACGGACCAAAUGCGCAAGCAGCUUGAGGAGGGGGUCGCGGCUGAUUAGCUCGUUGGCGGGGUAACGGCCCACCAAGGCAAUGAUCAGUAGCCGGCCUGAGAGGGCGCACGGCCACACUGGAACUGAAACACGGUCCAGACUCCUACGGGAGGCAGCAGUGGGGAAUUUUGCGCAAUGGGGGAAACCCUGACGCAGCAACGCCGCGUGGAGGAUGAAGCCCCUUGGGGUGUAAACUCCUUUCGAUCGGGACGAUUAUGACGGUACCGGAUGAAGAAGCACCGGCUAACUCUGUGCCAGCAGCCGCGGUAAUACAGAGGGUGCAAGCGUUGUUCGGAAUUAUUGGGCGUAAAGGGUGCGUAGGCGGUGCGGUAAGUCUUCUGUGAAACCUCCGGGCUUAACUCGGAGCCUGCAGGGGAAACUGCCGUGCUGGAGUAUGGGAGAGGUGAGUGGAAUUCCCGGUGUAGCGGUGAAAUGCGUAGGUAUCGGGAGGAACACCUGUGGCGAAAGCGGCUCACUGGACCAUUACUGACGCUGAUGCACGAAAGCUAGGGGAGCAAACAGGAUUAGAUACCCUGGUAGUCCUAGCCCUAAACUAUGAUCGCUUGGUGUGACAGGUACCCAAUCCUGUCGUGCCGGAGCUAACGCGUUAAGCGAUCCGCCUGGGGAGUACGGUCGCAAGGCUGAACUCAAAGGAUUGACGGGGGCCCGCACAAGCGGUGGAGCAUGUGGUUCAAUUCGACGCAACGCGAAAACCUUACCUGGGCUCGAAGCGUAGUGGACCG